GAGAGUUGGGUAGUCCGUACGAGCGCACCUUGAUCCUUAUUUGCCAUCAUUUAGUUGAGUACUCUAGGGAGACUGCCGGUGACAAACCGGAGGAAGGUGGGGACGACGUCAAGUCAUCAUGGCCCUUACGACCAGGGGCUACACACGUGCUACAAUGGGGCGUACAAAGGGUUGCAACCCCGCGAGGGUGAGCUAAUCCCAUAAAACGUUUCGUAGUCCGGAUCGCAGUCUGCAACUCGACUGCGUGAAGUCGGAAUCGCUAGUAAUCGUGAAUCAGAAUGUCACGGUGAAUACGUUCCCGGGCCUUGUACACACCGCCCGUCACACCAUGGGAGUGGGUUGCAAAAGAAGUGGGUAUCAUAACCUUUUGGAGUGCGCUCACCACUUUGUGAUUCAUGACUGGGGUGAAGUCGUAACAAGGUAGCCGUAGGGGAACCUGCGGCUGGAUCACCUCCUU
rnacentral:rRNA from 1 species